GGCUCCUAAUACAACAAGUCUUUUGGAAAACUGUUAAUACUGGCUAUCCACCUCCACUUUCCUUACCUUGCAUCAGAUCAUCAAGCUCUUCAUCCUUCAGGUGUCAGGGAUCAAGUGAGGCUUUCAGUAUUUGCCAAGAGCGAUCACCAGUAUGUUAUUAAACGCAGGACUCCAAGUUCCUGCAGCCCUCCUUUCUGAAGAAUGAUGACAUUUGUAAGGAUUCGUUUCUGAUGAGAAGACUGAGACCUGGAGUAGAGAUGAAGUAACUUAACUGUGUAAAUCAGGGGCAGGCAAGCAUCUUCUGUCAAGGAGCAGAGAGCAGUUCUCUUGGAAUUAACUGGAUUCACUCAGCAUGGUGUGAGCAUGCGUGUGUGAGUGUGUGCUGAGACAGACUUCAUGAACUCAUAGCACCCCAUGAAAGAUCACCUGUGUGAGGUCGCAGCUGCUGUGCUGGGUCCUUCCUUGGGGCCUGUGUCAAGUGCUGAGGACCCUGCUGGGAUAGGGGAGGCAGCUCCUGCUCAAUUGCUAUGGUGAUGAGUGUGACAUGUGGAAUAUAAAAGUCCCCUAAAUGUUUACAUGCUACAAUGUGGCAUUUUAAUAGGGCAUCAGAUGCAGCAUAUCCACAGAAUUAAUACGGAAUUUUCUUAUUAUCGUAAUUAUUAUUCAGAUAUUUUUGAAGAAACACAGUGAUGACCCAGGCCUGAGGACCUCAACUAGUAUUUUGUUGUUCUUACAUGUCACCAGGAGACUCACGCAAGCAAUCUCACAAAAAGCAAUUCAUGACAAUGGAAACCACCACCAGUUACUGAGAAAGGAUCUCUUGGGUUUUAAAAGAUCGUUUCAAUCUUUGAAGUAUUUCCUUUGUGAGGCCAGUUUGGUGUCCCUUGAAGGACUUUUUAUAAAACAUGAGACUCCCUCCACAUUAGGCAUCUGAAAUCCAACCUUUUUUUUUUUUUAAGUUGCAAAAGACAUUUUUUUGCAGACCAUCUGUUAUUUAGUAACGUGCAAAUUACCAAUAAAUAAUUCCAGAUUCCUUUUUUUGCAAGCAUAGCUAUAAACAAACUGAUCCACAUGCAGAAAUGGAAGUCAUUUUCUCUUUGAAAAUUCAUUAACUUCUGCACGAUUGGAAGAGAUCGGGAGAGAAGCUUCCUGGCAGAUGCUGAUGAGUGUUAUUACUGUACACAAAUAACAACAUGAGGCCAAACAUGGACAUUCUUUGGGAAUCUUCCUCUUGCUUAGCAUUCACUUGAGUGGUCUCACCAUAUGGGGUUUGUAUGUGUGACUAUAAAACCCUUUAAGAUGGAUUUAUGUGUAAUAAUCUCAUUUGUUCUUUUAGCUGGUUAAAACAUUAGCAAACUAUGAUUCUUCUCCUGUGAAACAAUAGAGAAUCACAAUAAAAAUUGCAUUUGACUUUUUUAUUCCCAAAAAGUUAUUGGGAAACCAAAUUUCAUAAGUGGUUCACCAAACGAGCCACUGCCAUUGCAUAGGCAGAGACAUUUGGAUUUGUGUCCUUGCUGGGAUGGUUUAAGGGAAGCAGAAGGAAAGUGGUAAGAAGAGUCAUCGCUGAGAAAAUUGCAGCUCUCAGUUGAUGAACUGUCUAUUUC